UGGGGAAUAUUGGACAAUGGGCGCAAGCCUGAUGCAGCCAUGCCGCGUGUAUGAAGAAGGCCUUCGGGUUGUAAAGUACUUUCAGCGAGGAGGAAGGCGAUGCGGUUAAUAACCGUGUCGAUUGACGUUACUCGCAGAAGAAGCACCGGCUAACUCCGUGCCAGCAGCCGCGGUAAUACGGAGGGGGCAAGCGUUAAUCGGAAUUACUGGGCGUAAAGCGCACGCAGGCGGUCUGUCAAGUCGGAUGUGAAAUCCCCGGGCUCAACCUGGGAACUGCAUUCGAAACUGGCAGGCUUGAGUCUUGUAGAGGGGGGUAGAAUUCCAGGUGUAGCGGUGAAAUGCGUAGAGAUCUGGAGGAAUACCGGUGGCGAAGGCGGCCCCCUGGACAAAGACUGACGCUCAGGUGCGAAAGCGUGGGGAGCAAACA
rnacentral:rRNA from 1 species